CAGACCGCCAGCUAAGGUCCCAAAGUCAUGGUUAAGUGGGAAACGAUGUGGGAAGGCCCAGACAGCCAGGAUGUUGGCUUAGAAGCAGCCAUCAUUUAAAGAAAGCGUAAUAGCUCACUGGUCGAGUCGGCCUGCGCGGAAGAUGUAACGGGGCUAAACCAUGCACCGAAGCUGCGGCAGCGAACGUAUCACCCAAGACAACUUUACGGAGUUGACGAUUGACGGAGCGAAGCGACGUCAAAGCGUUCAUUAAAGUCGAGUUGGCUUAGGGAUACGUUCGUUGGGUAGGGGAGCGUUCUGUAAGCCUGUGAAGGUGUGUCGUGAGGCAUGCUGGAGGUAUCAGAAGUGCGAAUGCUGACAUAAGUAACGAUAAAGCGGGUGAAAAGCCCGCUCGCCGGAAGACCAAGGGUUCCUGUCCAACGUUAAUCGGGGCAGGGUGAGUCGACCCCUAAGGCGAGGCCGAAAGGCGUAGUCGAUGGGAAACGGGUUAAUAUUCCCGUACUUGGUGUUACUGCGAAGGGGGGACGGAGAAGGCUAUGUUGGCCGGGCGACGGUUGUCCCGGUUUAAGCGUGUAGGUGUGUGUUCCAGGUAAAUCCGGUUCACUUUAACACUGAGGCGUGACGACGAGGCACUACGGUGCUGAAGCAACAAAUGCCCUGCUUCCAGGAAAAGCCUCUAAGCAUCAGGUAACAUCAAAUCGUACCCCAAACCGACACAGGUGGUCAGGUAGAGAAUACCAAGGCGCUUGAGAGAACUCGGGUGAAGGAACUAGGCAAAAUGGUGCCGUAACUUCGGGAGAAGGCACGCUGACACGUAGGUGAAGUGAUUUACUCAUGGAGCUGAAGUCAGUCGAAGAUACCAGCUGGCUGCAACUGUUUAUUAAAAACACAGCACUGUGCAAACACGAAAGUGGACGUAUACGGUGUGACGCCUGCCCGGUGCCGGAAGGUUAAUUGAUGGGGUCAGCGCAAGCGAAGCUCCUGAUCGAAGCCCCGGUAAACGGCGGCCGUAACUAUAACGGUCCUAAGGUAGCGAAAUUCCUUGUCGGGUAAGUUCCGACCUGCACGAAUGGCGUAAUGAUGGCCAGGCUGUCUCCACCCGAGACUCAGUGAAAUUGAACUCGCUGUGAAGAUGCAGUGUACCCGCGGCAAGACGGAAAGACCCCGUGAACCUUUACUAUAGCUUGACACUGAACAUUGAGCCUUGAUGUGUAGGAUAGGUGGGAGGCUUUGAAGUGUGGACGCCAGUCUGCAUGGAGCCGACCUUGAAAUACCACCCUUUAAUGUUUGAUGUUCUAACGUGGACCCGUAAUCCGGGUUGCGGACAGUGUCUGGUGGGUAGUUUGACUGGGGCGGUCUCCUCCUAAAGAGUAACGGAGGAGCACGAAGGUUGGCUAAUCCUGGUCGGACAUCAGGAGGUUAGUGCAAUGGCAUAAGCCAGCUUGACUGCGAGCGUGACGGCGCGAGCAGGUGCGAAAGCAGGUCAUAGUGAUCCGGUGGUUCUGAAUGGAAGGGCCAUCGCUCAACGGAUAAAAGGUACUCCGGGGAUAACAGGCUGAUACCGCCCAAGAGUUCAUAUCGACGGCGGUGUUUGGCACCUCGAUGUCGGCUCAUCACAUCCUGGGGCUGAAGUAGGUCCCAAGGGUAUGGCUGUUCGCCAUUUAAAGUGGUACGCGAGCUGGGUUUAGAACGUCGUGAGACAGUUCGGUCCCUAUCUGCCGUGGGCGCUGGAGAACUGAGGGGGGCUGCUCCUAGUACGAGAGGACCGGAGUGGACGCAUCACUGGUGUUCGGGUUGUCAUGCCAAUGGCACUGCCCGGUAGCUAAAUGCGGAAGAGAUAAGUGCUGAAAGCAUCUAAGCACGAAACUUGCCCCGA
rnacentral:rRNA from 1 species